UAAAACCUGAUGUUUUUUUAAUAGUACAAAUUUCUUCCUGAAAUUCACCAGCAAGUGCUUAAGAAAGAGAAAGCCGACUAAAAGACUAUUCCAUAACCGACUCUUAUUAGCAAGUCGAGGAGGCUUGGCUGGUACUAGGCUCUAAAAAAGCAACAUCCCUUGCAUACUUUACCAAGUAAAUAAAUUGCCCAACAAAAUCAGGUUUCACAAGUUGUUACAAAAUACAACUGUUCUUCUCACAGACGCGAUAACGGUCCAUUGCUUCCAUUUCCUUGAAGGAAAGGGUAAUCUGUGUAUCCCACAACUGGAUCUUGAGUAUAGAAUGUCUUCCUGUUAUACUUAUUUAGAGGUGCAUUUAGCUUGAUUCUCAUAACCAAAUCAGGAUUAGAGAUGAAAAGACGACCAUAUGACACGAGAUCAGCAUCACCUUGUGCCACAGCCUCAAUUCCUAGUUCCCUAGUGUAUCCACCACUGCAAAUGAAUGUCCCCUGAUACGCGUUCCUCAAAGUCCUCAUUAAACGAGCCUCUUCCUCUUCACUGCCAAGUCUGCCUGCUUCAGUUUGCCCAUAUGCUACGUAUCGUGGCUGUGUUACAUGAAGAUAGGCAAGCUUGGAACCAGAAUGGAGUUGGAUUUUGUUUAGUCUUUCAACAACUGCUAAGCCAAGGCUGAGUGGAUUAGAGUCCAUGGCAUCAAGAUGAUCUAUUGCUGGUGAAACUCUAACGCCUACGCGAUCAGCUCCUAUUGCUGAGACUACUGCUUGAACCACCUGUGUGAUGAAUUUGCACCGGUUGGCUAGUGAUCCACCAUACUCAUCUGUCCGGUCAUUGAUCCCAUCUUUCAAGAAUUGAUCAAUCAAGUAACCGUGAGCUCCAUGGAUUUCAAUACCAUCGAAACCUGCUUCAAUAGCAUUCAAGGCCGACCUGCGAUAAUCUUCAACAACUUGUGAGAUCUCAUAGGUUCCAAUUGCUCUUGGUUUUGGAUAAAUCCCAUGAGUUCCAUCAGGCAUUAGAAUUCUCCACCUAUUUGAUAUAGGCUUCUCAGUGGAUGAUAUUGGUGCAGCUCCAGCAGGUUGAUACACUUCAUGAGAUGCACGACCAACAUGCCACAGCUGACAAAAUAUGACAGCACCCUUUGCAUGCACUACAUCAACUAUUUUCUUCCAUUCCCUUACUUGUUCCUUUGUGAAAAUCCCUGGCACAUGAGGAAACCCAGCUGAAGUCGGAGAAAUCAUAGUGCCUUCAGUGAUCAGAAAUCCACCGGCCGUCGCUCUCUGCUCGUAAUACUCCCCUAGCGCCGCCUGUGGAAUAUUAUUCAGUGCUCUGCACCUUGUCAUCGGAGCCAAUACUACCCUGUGGGAUAGAUUGAACUUGCCCAUCUUGUAAGGAG
rnacentral:misc_RNA from 1 species